rnacentral:rRNA from 1 species
UACGGGGGGGGCAAGCGUUGUUCGGAAUUACUGGGCGUAAAGGGCUCGUAGGCGGCCAACUAAGUCAGACGUGAAAUCCCUCGGCUUAACCGGGGAACUGCGUCUGAUACUGGAUGGCUUGAGUUUGGGAGAGGGAUGCGGAAUUCCAGGUGUAGCGGUGAAAUGCGCAGAUAUCAGGAAGAACACCCGUGGCGAAGGCGGCUCUCUGGGACGGUACUGACGGCUGAG